UACGGAGGGGGUUAGCGUUGUUCGGAAUUACUGGGCGUAAAGCGCGCGUAGGCGGACUAUUAAGUCAGAGGUGAAAUCCCGGGGCUCAACCCCGGAACUGCCUUUGAUACUGGUAGUCUUGAGUUCGAGAGAGGUAAGUGGAAUUCCGAGUGUAGAGGUGAAAUUCGUAGAUAUUCGGAGGAACACCAGUGGCGAAGGCGGCUUACUGGCUCGAUACUGACGCUGAGGUGCGAAAGUGUGGGGAGCAAACAGGAUUAGAUACCCCGGUAGUCC
rnacentral:rRNA from 1 species